rnacentral:rRNA from 1 species
UUGAACGCUGGCGGUAUGCUUUACACAUGCAAGUCGAACGGCAGCACGGGGCAACCUGGUGGCGAGUGGCGAACGGGUGAGUAACAUAUCGGAACAUGUCCGGAAGUGGGGGAUAGCUCGGCGAAAGCCGGAUUAAUACCGCAUAUGCCCCGAGGGGGAAAGGGGGGGAUCGCAAGACCUCUCGCUUUCGGAGUGGCCGAUAUCGGAUUAGCUAGUUGGUGGGGUAAAGGCCCACCAAGGCGACGAUCCGUAGCUGGUCUGAGAGGACGACCAGCCACACUGGAACUGAGACACGGUCCAGACUCCUACGGGAGGCAGCAGUGGGGAAUUUUGGACAAUGGGCGCAAGCCUGAUCCAGCCAUACCGCGUGAGUGAAGAAGGCCUUCGGGUUGUAAAGCUCUUUCAGCCGGAAAGAAAUCGUGCAAUCUAAUAAAUUGUAUGGAUGACGGUACCGGAAGAAGAAGCACCGGCUAACUACGU